AAAUCAUGAUGAAUAACUUUAUCACCAUCUUUCGACUGAAAUUACUGUUGAAUAAUGUUUUAUCUGAUGUAUGAU